rnacentral:lncRNA from 1 species
CUUCGUAAAACUGAUUCGUCGCUCCUAGUAGAAUCAAAAUCAACAAAAUAAUACUAGAAGUAUUCAUCAACACCUUUGGCAUGAUAGAGAAAUUGUCUCUUGAAUGGAUCAUCUAUGUUCAGGCAAUACGUAACCUGAGCACACUGUACUGAUUGAAACAACUGCCUACAACGUCCGGAAAUAAUUGAGCACACAGUAAUAAUUGUUUUUUUUUUGUUGAACUAAUACAGGUUUGAAGGAAAAAAGCACUCAAUGCUGCAAGUAUGGACGUUUCAGUGCUAAAAUCACUUCUUGAAUGGACCAUCCUCUAUAUAAUCUAGGAGCAGACCAAUCCCCAUUCCCAUCAGUACAGUAGCGCAGUUCUUCCCCAAGAUGGGAAAAGAAGAACAUCUCCACAAAUUGACAUUAAUCCCAUCUCAAUCUCGUUUCCCCUUGUCUUACAUCCCAAAUCAACACAAAUUCUAAUCCCAAUCUCAUUGUCCCUAUUUUCUCCCAUACCAAUCAACACAAAAAAUACUCCCUAAAUUCCUUUGGGCUAUAGGGCUGAAGGCAACCCGGACAGGAAGCAGGCGGCGGACUGCUGUGCAGCGCAGUAAGGAUGGGGGGAGGGUACAGCGCCUGGGGACGAUGAGGACGGGGAGCUCACCAAGACCGCAGAGGAGCACCGGCAGUGGCGGAGCCAGGAUUUCACAGCUAGGUAUUCCACGUACAUAAAAUUUUUUGAGUAAAGUCUACUAGCGGUUCUCAAACUUGUUCAACUGUGUCAUCUUGGUUCUUAAACUUGCAAGAUGCGUCAUCUCGGUCUUUAAACUCGCAAAUCAACCGUUUAGGUCCUCAAACUUGUUCACUUGUGUAAUUCCGGUCCCUAAACUCGCAAAUCACUCGUGUACUUUACUAAAAACUUUUCAUGCAAAUGUAUAAUAGUAAUUACCAAAAGAGUAAAGUCCAUCACCGGUUCCUAAACUUAUUUGGGUGUGCCAUCUCGGUCCCUAAACUCGUAAAACGACCGUUUAGGUACCUAAACUUAUCCAGUUGUGUCAUCCUAGUCCCUAAACUUGGAAAUUUCUCAUAUAGGUCCUCAAACUUGUUCAGUUGUGUCAACUUGUUUUUAAGUCUCGUCUGGGUUAAAACAGAGUGAAUCUAAAAACUCUAUAUCGAAAAAUAACUCAUAAUUUUUUUCAUAUGAACUCAAAUGAAGAUAAACUUUAUAUCAAAAUUAUAUCCAUUUACAACUCUGUAGUUAAAAGGUUUUAAAAUUAAAAUCAAUUAGGGUCCCAAAAUUUUUUUUUAAGUUUAUAGAUUUUGAAAUUAAAAAUUAAAUUUUAUGACACUAAACGACUUUAAAUAAAAAAAAUCAACUAUAAAGUUGUAGAUCACGUUAAGGACUACAACUUUGAUAUAAAGUUUGUCUUCAUUCGAGUUCAUAUGGAAAAAUUAUGAAUUAUUUUUUAUAUAGAGUUUUUAGAUCGCUUUGUUUCGAACUAGAUGAGACUCCAAAACAAAUUUAAGGAUUGAGAUGACACAAUUGAACAAAUUUGAAGAUCUAAACGGCUGAUUUCUAAGUUACCUGGAUGUCAUAGUUGAAUAAGCUACUAUAAGCUUAGGGACCUAGAUGACACAGACAAACAAGGUCGAAGACCUAAACAGUCAAACAGUCAAUUUGCAAGUUUAAAAGUUUAAGGACUGAGAUGACAUGUAGGCACCGGUGGUGGACUUUACUCUUACCAAAAGUACAAUCUCUCAACAUAGUGAGCUGAUAUGGAAGUUUUGAAAUCCUUAGGAUAAAACUUUGUAAUAACAAGUCUAAAACGAAAUCUUAAAUUUCUGCUGUGCUCACCUUGCUUCAACGGUUCAACCUUCAAGGCUCAAGCACAAGCAGCAAGCCGGAGCCAAACCGUGCCGCCGCCCGCCAGGGCCGGGACGCCGGGUGCCGGCCGCCAGGGUUGGGUUGGGCGCAGUCGCGCCCGCGCAGGUCACGCUCGCGCAGCGCCGCAGAGCCAAGGGGAGAGGGCCGAGGGGUAGGGCGCGUGCGAGUGCCGCCGUGCUCGCCCUUUCCUUCCGCCCCUGCCUCCGCCGUUCCCCGCUGCCGGCUCCAGACGCGUG